CUCCUACGGGAGGCAGCAGUGGGGAAUAUUGCACAAUGGGGGAAACCCUGAUGCAGCGACGCAGCGUGCGGGAUGACGGCCUUCGGGUUGUAAACCGCUUUCAGCAGGGAAGAAGCGCAAGUGACGGUACCUGCAGAAGAAGUACCGGCUAACUACGUGCCAGCAGCCGCGGUAAUACGUAGGGUACGAGCGUUGUCCGGAAUUAUUGGGCGUAAAGAGCUCGUAGGUGGUUGGUCACGUCUGCUGUGGAAACGCAACGCUUAACGUUGCGCGUGCAGUGGGUACGGGCUGACUAGAGUGCAGUAGGGGAGUCUGGAAUUCCUGGUGUAGCGGUGAAAUGCGCAGAUAUCAGGAGGAACACCGGUGGCGAAGGCGGGACUCUGGGCUGUAACUGACACUGAGGAGCGAAAGCAUGGGGAGCGAACAGGAUUAGAUACCCUGGUAGUCCAUGCCGUAAACGUUGGGCACUAGGUGUGGGGGCAUUCCACGUUCUCCGCGCCGUAGCUAACGCAUUAAGUGCCCCGCCUGGGGAGUACGGUCGCAAGGCUAAAACUCAAAGGAAUUGACGGGGGCCCGCACAAGCGGCGGAGCAUGCGGAUUAAUUCGAUGCAACGCGAAGAACCUUACCAAGGCUUGACAUACACCGGACCGUCCUGGAAACAGGUCCUCUUCUUUGAAGCUGGUGUACAGGUGGUGCAUGGUUGUCGUCAGCUCGUGUCGUGAGAUGUUGGGUUAAGUCCCGCAACGAGCGCAACCCUCGUUCUAUGUUGCCAGCACGUGAUGGUGGGAACUCAUAGGAGACUGCCGGGGUCAACUCGGAGGAAGGUGGGGAUGACGUCAAAUCAUCAUGCCCUUUAUGUCUUGGGCUUCACGCAUGCUACAAUGGCUGGUACAGAGAGAGGCGAACCCGUGAGGGCAAGCGAAUCCCUUAAAGCCAGUCUCAGUUCGGAUCGUAGUCUGCAAUUCGACUACGUGAAGUCGGAGUCGCUAGUAAUCGCAGAUCAGCAACGCUGCGGUGAAUACGUUCCCGGGCCUUGUACACACCGCCCGU
rnacentral:rRNA from 1 species